AACAAGGAUUCCCCUAGUAACUGCGAGUGAAGCGGGAAAAGCUCAAAUUUAAAAUCUGGCGGUCUCUGGCCGUCCGAGUUGUAAUCUAGAGAAGUAAUGCCCGUGCUGGACCGUGUAUAAGUCUCCUGGGAUGGGGCCGUCAUAGAGGGUGAGAAUCCCGUCUUUGACACGGACUACCAGUGCAUUGUGGUAUGCUCUCAAAGAGUCGAGUUGUUUGGGAAUGCAGCUCAAAAUGGGUGGUAAAUUCCAUCUAAAGCUAAAUAUUGGCGAGAGACCGAUAGCGAACAAGUACCGUGAGGGAAAGAUGAAAAGAACUUUGGAAAGAGAGUUAAACAGUACGUGAAAUUGCUGAAAGGGAAACGCUUGAAGUCAGUCGCGUUGGCCGGGGAUCAGCCUUGCUUUUGCAUGGUGUACUUUCUGGUUGACGGGUCAGCAUCAAUUUUGACCGCUGGAAAAAGACCUGGGGAAUGUGGCAGCUUCGGCUGUGUUAUAGCCCCUAGUCGCAUACAGUGGUUGGGAUUGAGGAACUCAGCACA
rnacentral:rRNA from 1 species